CCGCAAUUUGGGGAAUUUUUCGCAAUGGGCGCAAGCCUGACGGAGCAAGACCGCGUGCGGGAGGACGGCCUAUUGGUUGUAAACCGCUUUUGAUAGGGAAGAAGUUCUGACGGUACCUAUCGAAUCAGCAUCGGCUAACUCCGUGCCAGCAGCCGCGGUAAUACGGAGGAUGCAAGCGUUAUCCGGAAUUAUUGGGCGUAAAGCGUCCGUAGGUGGUUGUUCAAGUCUGCUGUUAAAGCGUGCGGCUUAACCGCAUACCAGCAGUGGAAACUGGGCGACUAGAGUGCGGUAGGGGUCAGGGGAAUUCCCAGUGUAGCGGUGAAAUGCGUAGAUAUUGGGAAGAACACCGGUGGCGAAAGCGCCUGACUGGACCUGCA
rnacentral:rRNA from 1 species